AGUGACUUGGCUUAGGCGUUGCUUGGCCGGAAUUCUCAACAAGCUUACAUUAUCAUCUCAUAGAAGCAGCAAAAUACAUUAUUACUAACAACGAAUAAAAGGGGCCCCAUUCACUCGAUUUUGGAGAAUGCAAUGCCCUUGACCACCGACUCGGGAGGCUCUUAGCACCUUGUGUGGAGCUACCUUCCCUCAGACAUUAGGCUAAUAGGAAUGUACUAGGUGUAAUAAUCUUUAGCAUAGUUACAGGCGUUGAAACAAGGUGUCGUGGAGUAUCUUCUUCAAAGGAUAGGGAAGCUAUGUCUGUCUUUACAUAAAUCUUUCAUUGGUGCUCGAGAAACUCAGAUGAUAACGAGAGAAAUGAAAGUGAGCUUUGAAUUGUGCAUAUCAAACCAAGAAUACCAUAUUUCAAGCCUUUCUAUCAGUAGGAUCAACCUCCACUUUUUUGAUCAACCUAUACUGUUGCAUGAUGGGCAGUUCGUUUUCUCCUUUAUUUGGGGUUAACGCCUUCGUUCAUAACAAGGUAGCCAUAGGGUCACAGUAGGCUGGAUUGAAUCCUUCCCACUUCCCCUUUCUUUUGGUCGGUCCUCCUCAAUACCUUUCUAUUAUUGUUUACAUUAUGCCUCUGACUUUUGCGUACUCAUAUGUGCUUUUUCCACUCCCAUUGCUCUACUAAUCUCAUGGGGAUGAUGACCUGUAAGAAUACGCAUGAUAGUAAUAUUCGCCAGAGCACCCUAAACCGGCAACCAAGCAACUGCACCAGCCCCUACUUAGUUUUCUAGCCAUAACAGAAUGAACAUAGGAGCGAUCGAUUACGAUAGCUCGACCAGCAAUGACAUUUCUUUUCUUCCUUCUUCACCUCCCGAUUCUUAUGCAACUGCUCCAGCUCCUAGAGAAGAUAAGUAAGAAACUAGGGCUCGAAAGCCGCAAGGGAUUCUAUAACUACCUGCUACUGAAGUAUAAGAAGAAAGUCCCUAGCUUCAUAUAAAUGGUCUUUUCCAUCGUUUAGGAACCUUCAUCCAUCUGAUCCAGGAAAGUGCCCUUUUGGAUAAGCAAAACGGACUAUUCUAGACGUUCUCAGAAUGGGGAGCUAGCCAAGUUCUUUUUCUAACAGAGGAGCAGCUAAGAG
rnacentral:lncRNA from 1 species